rnacentral:tRNA from 1 species
GCUUUUAGCUCAGUGGUUAGAGUGUUCGUCUCCCAUGCCAGUGUGUGUGUGUGUGUCAAGGUGGUGGGUUCGAGGCCCGUGAGCG